AUUGAACGCUGGUGGCAUGCUUAACACAUGCAAGUCGAACGGUAACAGGUCUUCGGAUGCUGACGAGUGGCGGACGGGUGAGUAACGCGUAGGAAUCUGCCCAUUUGAGGGGGAUACCAGUUGGAAACGACUGUUAAUACCGCAUAAUAUCUGUGGAUUAAAGGUGGCUUAGGCUGCCGCAGAUGGAUGAGCCUGCGUUGGAUUAGCUAGUUGGUGGGGUAAGGGCCUACCAAGGCUACGAUCCAUAGCUGAUUUGAGAGGAUGAUCAGCCACAUUGGGACUGAGACACGGCCCAAACUCCUACGGGAGGCAGCAGUGGGGAAUAUUGGACAAUGGGGGAAACCCUGAUCCAGCAAUGCCAUGUGUGUGAAGAAGGCUCUAGGGUUGUAAAGCACUUUAGUGGGGAGGAAAGCCUAUGAGUUAAUAGCUUGUAGGAAGGACGUUACCCAAAGAAUAAGGACCGGCUAACUCCGU
rnacentral:rRNA from 1 species